GGGCGCGUCUUYGCGGCGCGUCGGUCGUUUGAUAUUUCCGUCGCCGACYYGACYGCAGACGUCGCGACCUGUUCGCGGUCGGUCCUUGCUCGGAGGAGCCGCGUUCGAGUUYGUUGUGUGCGCGUUUYCGCGCGUUACACGGCGAAGGCGUGGAUCUCUGGCCGGCCGUCGGACAGUACGCUCAACGGUGUCCGAUGUCGUCGUCUYGUACGCGCGCGCAUCGGUGCCGGUCGGCGACGAAUUCUUCGGGCCUCUUUCCGACCCGUCUUGAAACACGGACCAAGGAGUCUAACAUGCGCGCGAGUCGCGGGGUGUCGAGCGUACYACGGUGCGUUCGUUACGUUGCGAAACCCGUACAUGUYGAAGGCGUAAUGAAAGUAAAUGGGGAAGAUGGUGUUCCGAGUACACGUUCCGCGGUCAUCAGUACCGCGGCCGGACACCCGCAUUCCCGGGACGUCUCAACGGCCCGUCGUGGAUGCGGAUCGCCGUUCUUUAGGGAUGGUGGAUCGGUCCGCGACGAACCGAGGCGUACCUAUAGCGUGCACG
rnacentral:rRNA from 1 species